rnacentral:rRNA from 1 species
UACGAAGGGGGCUAGCGUUGUUCGGAAUCACUGGGCGUAAAGGGCGCGUAGGCGGCUUGACAAGUCGGGGGUGAAAGCCUGUGGCUCAACCACAGAAUUGCCUUCGAUACUGUCGAGCUUGAGACCGGAAGAGGUAAGUGGAACUGCGAGUGUAGAGGUGAAAUUCGUAGAUAUUCGCAAGAACACCAGUGGCGAAGGCGGCUUACUGGUCCGGUUCUGACGCUGAGGCGCGAAAGCGUGGGGAGCAAACAGG